CAGUAGCCACGGGAAUACGAAGGGGGCUAGCGUUGUUCGGAUUUACUGGGCGUAAAGCGCACGUAGGCGGACUUUUAAGUCAGGGGUGAAAUCCCGGGGCUCAACCCCGGAACUGCCUUUGAUACUGGAAGUCUUGAGUAUGGUAGAGGUGAGUGGAAUUCCGAGUGUAGAGGUGAAAUUCGUAGAUAUUCGGAGGAACACCAGUGGCGAAGGCGGCUCACUGGACCAUUACUGACGCUGAGGUGCGAAAGCGUGGGGAGCAAACAGGAUUAGAUACCCGCGUAGUCCCUGUCUCUUAUAA
rnacentral:rRNA from 1 species